AGAGCGAACGCUGGCGGCAGGCCUAAUACAUGCAAGUCGAACGGAUCCUUCGGGAUUAGUGGCGGACGGGUGAGUAACACGUGGGAACGUGCCCUUUGGUUCGGAACAACUCAGGGAAACUUGAGCUAAUACCGAAUGUGCCCUUCGGGGGAAAGAUUUAUCGCCAUUGGAGCGGCCCGCGUCUGAUUAGCUAGUUGGUGAGGUAAAGGCUCACCAAGGCGACGAUCAGUAGCUGGUCUGAGAGGAUGAUCAGCCACACUGGGACUGAGACACGGCCCAGACUCCUACGGGAGGCAGCAGUAGGGAAUCUUGCGCAAUGGGCGAAAGCCUGACGCAGCCAUGCCGCGUGAAUGAUGAAGGUCUUAGGAUUGUAAAAUUCUUUCAGCGGGGACGAUAAUGACGGUACCCGCAGAAGAAGCCCCGGCUAACUUCGUGCCAGCAGCCGC
rnacentral:rRNA from 1 species